CGGGCGGUGUUGUUGGUUGGAGUUGAUACGGCAUCGACCCCAUAGGCUAGAGUUCCCUAGUUUCCUGAUGUGGGACGUGUGAUCGCCUUGAGUCUAUGGGGCGUUUAAGUACCACAGAACCUGUUAGUCUACUCACGCACAGCUACUACAAGCUGUUAGAGAACAAGCUGCCCAUAUUGGGUGGUGGGAUCAAGUCCGGAAAGAUAUGGAAAUAAUGAGACUUUAGAGGAAGAUUCGAAUGUCGCAGAGGAUUGGCGACAACGUUUUGGCCAGGCCAAAUACGAGCUUGGCUACAAGUGGUUAUGGCAAGUUUUGGUCAGUGAGCUGUGUAGGCUACAGGGAGAGCGAGACCCAGUCAAGAUACAGAAGGUGGCCAACUCCAUCGCGUGGAUGGCACGCAACUUAGCGUUCGACGAUAAGUUGCUAUCACCAAUCGCCAAGUCCGCAUUGGCCAAUGGAAUAUACGCCAUAGGUUCUGGUCAGUGAGCUGUGUAGGCUACAGGGAGAGCGAGACUCAGUCAAGAUACAGAAGGUGGCCAACUCCAUCGCGUGGAUGGCUCGCAACUUAGCGUUCGACGACAAGUUUCUAUCACCAUUUGCCAAGUCUGCAAUGGCCAAAAUGGAAUAUACGCUAUAGGCUAUGAAUGACACUCCUUGGCAUCUACAGCUGUUACACCAAUCUCAAUUCAAGGAGACAGCUCCUAGAUGUGGUUCGGGUUACAGGGUAUGGAACCACGCGCUUGAGGAGCGAGUGGGAGGAUCACUGGGCAGUGCUUGAGGGGAUACUUGGACAGAACACAGGUUAUGACAUCUAGGAUUCAACAACACUCAGUACCUCCAAGUCUAACAUGCGCCCCUACGAUUGCCUUAAUAUUACAACCAAGCAAG